GACGAACGCUGGCGGCGUGCUUAACACAUGCAAGUCGAACGGAAAGGCCCUGCUUUUGUGGGGUGCUCGAGUGGCGAACGGGUGAGUAACACGUGAGUAACCUGCCCUUGACUUUGGGAUAACUUCAGGAAACUGGGGCUAAUACCGGAUAGGAGCUCCUGCUGCAUGGUGGGGGUUGGAAAGUUUCGGCGGUUGGGGAUGGACUCGCGGCUUAUCAGCUUGUUGGUGGGGUAGUGGCUUACCAAGGCUUUGACGGGUAGCCGGCCUGAGAGGGUGACCGGCCACAUUGGGACUGAGGUACGGCCCAGGCUCCUACGGGAGGGAGCAGUGGGGAAUAUUGCACAAUGGGCGGAAGGCUGAUGCAGCAACGCCGCGGGCGGGAAGACGGCCUUCGGGGUGUAAACCCGUUUCGCCUGUGACGAAGCGUGAGUGACGGGAAUGGGUAAAGAAGCAACGGCUUACUACGGG
rnacentral:rRNA from 1 species